GGGCCUAAAGGUAAGCUUAAGGUUCAAUCAAUCUUGAUCAGCAUCUGGAUCCAUACUAAUUUCUUCCUUGAAGUUGUACUCAACCACAAGUCCAAGGUUGUCAACUAAUUUGUGAUACUGAGAGCAGCCUGAACACUGUAUAAACACAGUCCCUCUUUCAUAUGCUAAUCUGUUUAUCAGUCUUUGAGAACGAGCACCACAAGCAUUACAUGUAAAUGUUGCUAACAGACUUCUUCUUGGUAAUUUCAUGUCAAAUACUGCUUCCUUUGAAGAAUCACUUGAAGCAGAUGAAUUCACAGCGUCUGGUUGUGUUUCAGAACUAUCUUCCACAACACAAGAAAUAACUGGAAGCCGGAACAAAUGUUCUGAUGCUCUCCUCUUCCCAUAAAUAGUACUUGACCUAGUAGAUUUAAUACAGAAACGAUAUGAAUUAGAUCUGAAGGAAGAAGGGAACUGAAGAGAACAAAUGGGCACAUGGGUUUUGGUGCAAGUAACAGA
rnacentral:misc_RNA from 1 species